CCUCUGAAGAAAAUCAUGGAAGCAUGUGCAGGUGGUUUUUCCUCCAGUGUUGGUUACCCAGGACAGCAAUACUACUUUAAUAGUUCAGGCAGCUCUGGAUAUCAGGAUUAUUAUCCGCAUGGCAGGCCGGAUCACUAUGAAGAAGCACCCAGGAACUAUGACACGUACACAGCAGGACUGAGUGAAGAAGAACAGCUCGAGAGAGCAUUACAAGCCAGCCUCUGGGACCGAGGUAGGAGUCUUGCGCCCUUCAGUUAUUUUAAAGCAUACCUCAUGUGGUAAGGUAGCCUGAAAAAGGGCUAUUUGUAGUAAAUUAAAUUUUAAAUAGUUCAGAAAAAAGGAUAUGUAGAUGAAAAAUGUGUGCAGAUUGUGAUUACAAAGAAUGGGGUAUGAUGCCAUAUUCCCAGCAACCUAAGCUAAUAAGGUGCCAGGCUGUGUAUGUAUUGUUAAAGUGGUUCUUUUUAUAGGCCUGCUGUACUUGAUGCUUUGGCAUUAAAGUCAAGAAACUUAAAAUUCUUA
rnacentral:sRNA from 1 species